rnacentral:tRNA from 1 species
CCCUGUGGCUCAGUUGGUAGAGCAUGGUGUUUGCAACGCCAGCAUGGUGUGCGCAAUGCCAGGGUUGUGGGUUCGAUUCCCACAGGGG